UUGGAGGGCAAGUCUGGUGCCAGCAGCCGCGGUAAUUCCAGCUCCAAUAGCGUAUAUUAAAGUUGUUGCAGUUAAAAAGCUCGUAGUUGAAUUUCGGGGUUAGUAGGUUGGUCAUGCCUCUGGUAUGUACUGGUCUCACUGAUUCCUCCUUCCUGAUGAACCGUAAUGCCAUUAAUUUGGUGUUGCGGGGAAUUUGGACUGUUACUUUGAAAAAAUUAGAGUGUUUAAAGCAAGCUAACGCUUGAAUACAUUAGCAUGGAAUAAUGAAAUAGGACGUUCGAUCCUAUUUUGUUGGUUUCUAGGAUUGACGUAAUGAUUAAUAGGGAUAGUUGGGGGCAUUAGUAUUCAAUUGUCAGAGGUGAAAUUCUUGGAUUUAUUGAAGACUAACUACUGCGAAAGCAUUUGCCAAGAUGUUUUCAUUAAUCAAGAACGAAAGUUAGGGGAUCGAAGACGAUCAGAUACCGUCGUAGUCUUAACCAUAAACUAUGCCGACUAGGGAUCGGAUGAUGUUAAUUUUUUAAUGACUCAUUCGGCGCCUUACGGGAAAC
rnacentral:rRNA from 1 species